CGGGGCUGGUGCAGUGUUGGACACACGGACACGCGGUAGUGUCUGGAGCUUACCUGGUCUACUUCUGGUUUGUGCUCGUGGGCAACUUCGCCGCUGGCUUCAUCCUAUCUGGCUUCAUGUUUUUGGGCUCAACCAUCAUCGCCGUAGUGGUGACGGUGUACUUCUGGAUAGUAGUGCGUAGCUUCGACCUCAAGCUGCAACGGACCAACUUGAGAACAGUGUCUGGCAGUUGCCGUCCACCCAGCACCAAGAGUUACGAACCGCCACCAAUGCGCCCGAGUACUUUGUCCGAUACCGACAGGCCGUUACCGGGAAGGAACACUUUAUUCGCCCCCACCCUAUACCAGCAAUCCCUAGACCGGACCCACCUCUGCCACUGCUCCAGGUUUCAGACUUUCCGCUACUUUGAGUCGAUCACCAUAUCACAUCCGACUUACGCAGCACAGCUGGAAUAAAUCAAGUUUGUGGCUGACAGAUGGUAAGCCGAUAAACGCCAUGUGCUCUAGCAUUCGAUAUUCGCGUGAGCAAUGAGGAUGAAAUAAAACUGUGGACUUGCAGAUUAAGGAGGAGAUGGGAAUAGUGGUGGUGACAGCUGGAUCGGCAGCUGUAGUAAAUGCAUCUGCCAACAGUACGUCUGAGAAGUCCCCAUACGUCUACAUCAAAAUAGUACAAUGUAUAUUGUACUUGCAUAUAAUAACUAUCUAUCCAAUAGGCCUGUCAUGCAUUACACAGAGAUCUAGGCGUCUCCCUGUCCUUCUCAAAACCUCAUGGAGCAUCUCACGGGUUAUGCUUCGCAAGAAUUCCUCGACAGUUUUGGGUGAUUUUUCAUUAGUCUUCCGCAGAUAUUGAGCCCCGUGGGACACGCAUAUACCCCAUAAUGAGAUGUGUGGUCUGGUAAAGUUUGAGCUUCGUGGUUGCCACCUCCGUAUGGCUGGAGAUGUUGCUGGGCCACGCUAAAUAAGCCACCUCGAAGUUGUUCUUCAAGGAAUCCAUACACCGGAACAGCGAAGUGUGCUGCUGAUGUAAACACAGAUAGCCAGUGAUAGCUUUGUCUUCGAGCUGAGGUGCUGACAUCAUUUUGGCCGUGCGGUUGUAGGCGCUACAGUCUGGAACCGAGCGACCGUUACGGUCGCAGGUUCGAAUCCUGCCUCGGGCAUGGGUUUGUGUGAUGUCCUUAGAUUAGUUAGGUUUAAUUAGUUCUAAGUUCUAGGCGACUGAUGACCUCAGACGUUAAGUCGCAUAGUGCUCAGCGCCAUUUGAACCUUUUUUUUUUGACAUCAUUUGGAAGGAUACCAACAAAUUAUUUCCCAAAUUCUACGAAUUAAAGAGUGAUUUGCGGGCUUGCUCAAUUGCCGUAGACAUCAAGCAUUACAGCGAGCAUGUGGCGCCAGAGAAAUAGAUACGACUGGCUGGCAGCUGACCACUACUAUUCCACCCAGGUAAACGUCAGUCACAGAGCUGCUUUAAUCGAAGCACAGUCAAGAUUUCCCAGGAAACUUUGAAACCUCUCUCCCAUAACACUCUCACAGGUCCAAGCAGGUAACGAGCUCAGCCACAGCACCGAAACUGUCGCUGCAACAAAUCGUGACACGUUUUGCAAUUUCCUGAAAUGUCAGUGCAUCGUGUCCUGUCGAAAUAUUCCGUUCAUGCUAGCGAUACGCUUUUUCAACAUCGGAGAGUUAUUAAACGAAAAGAUUCUACUUUCCAGAGAUCAAAUCUGAAUGCAUGUUCAAGAAAUCAUUGAGUGGGAAUGUUACAGUAAAUAGACGAGAUCAUUUGCGUACAAAUUGGGAACGAAUGCGUACUCUAAUCUUUUCCACUCUGUAUAGCGAUGGUACAGUUUUUCGUUAGUAUCUCGACUGAAAAGCAGAACAUCAGGGCUACGGAAUUCGCAAAGAAAUGCAUGACAGAAUAUUCUGGUGCGAUAUUUACCGACACGGAACUACAAUAGGACGUCUGAAGGGAUUGUAAAAAUUUCAUCUUGAAAUAGGACAGGAUCAAUUCGGCGAUUAUUACUUAGGGCAGGGGAACGCCGACCUGAAAUCCAAAUCGAUACACAUUUCAUGAAGUCUGCAGAAGAUUCCUAAUGUUAUCCUAUGAUUCACGUGAAUCCUUACAAACCCGUACUCCCUCAAAUACUAUCCUUAUUUAUGACAUUCCACCUUGAAGAUAACUUGGGAACAGAAGAUGUUACAACCUGGAAGGCAGAUGUGGAGUCCUUUUCCCUUCCUAUGUUGUCUAACGUACUGCAUUGCUAAGAAUAUUUAAUUUUAAAGAUACAUCAGAACAACAUAUAAUGUCUCGUUGAAGUGGAAUAUCUGUGCAAAAUUUUUCACUGAUUCAUAGAUAAGAAACUAUGACUGUAGUUUGUAGAUUUUAAAGCUAGUGAAUUUUAUAUGAAAUAAACUGGAAAAUAAUGUGCCAAUGUCA